GGAGGACUGGCUGGCGGCGUACCGCGCGCGCGCAGCGCCGGCGCGGGCGGGGCUGCGGCGGAACUCCGCCGACUACUCCGUCGUCGAGACCGCCGCUUUCCUCCGCGCCUGCGGGCUCUGCUGCCGCCGCCUCGGCCCCGGCCGCGACACCUUCAUGUACAAGUACGUAUAGUACAGUAUUCUCCGUCAGUGAUUCAUGUCUGGAUAAUCUUAAUCUUCAUGUUCGUGCGUGUCCUAAAAAAGACGUGCCUUUCUUUCUGCUGCUGCAGGGGCGAGGCGGCGUUCUGCAGCCUGGAGUGCCGGGAGCGGCACAUCACGCAGGAGGAGUGGAAGGACAAGUGCACCGUGAAGUCCAUCAACAACAAGGACGCGGCCGCGGGGGCGGCGCCGGUCGCCGGCCGCCGCGCCGGCUCCGGCAAGCCCGGGGCCGGCGGCACGGUGGCCGCGGCAUGACGAGGCGCGCGCGAACUUACGCCGCACCUACCCACGCAGGCCACUCCUACACCUUCCUCAACUAGCAAGCUGCAGGCUCAUCGAUCAAUCACUCUGCAUAUCAGCAAGACAGUAAUCACUCAUAUACUAGUUAUCACCAGCUUGAUUAAUCGAUUAGAGUUAUCUGGAUCGACCACCGCAGCAUGAAGCCGUAGAGACGCC
rnacentral:lncRNA from 1 species